rnacentral:lncRNA from 1 species
UAUUUCCAGUCUUGGUUACCCAGAGUUUCCAAGUGAACAAAAGACCUGUGUGAGCCAUCCAUAGCAUAGCCUGAUUCUCAGAGUGUUUUCCUUCUCUAAUUACAGGUGACUUCAGGGAGCACAUUCAAUGGUACGUAUUCUGGAAUCACUCACUGGUUGUUAGAAAAGGAUUCUACAGGAAAUCUGGAGCUUAACUGCUGGCUUUUGUCUGGAGAGCCUCCAUGAUCCAAGACAUCUGGUGGGAAUGAGGAUGUAGGGUAUAGUAAAAGAAACUGGUUUUCCUGGUGACAUACUCUUUUUAUCUAUGUAUAGUUUCUGGGAACAUGUUCACAUUAGGUUGUGUGUGGGUAUGUGUGUAUUAGGGCGGGGGUGGGGUGAGGUGGUCUGUGUGCAAGUCUGCAUGAUUUGCUUGUGAAUGUGUGUCUAUGUGUGUUUCCCCUAGGAAAAAAAUGUUGUGUUUACCCAGCACAACUCUCAGUGCCAUGUUUCUUAAUUUAACAAAUCAGACCACAUACUUUACUUACAUUAGUUCACACCUCAUCAUCAUCAUGCCCAUAUGUUGUGAGCUUGUUUAUUGAGCCCACAUGCCAGAUGGAGAAACUAAGCCACAUAAAUAAAUGUGCCCUGGUUCACUUGCUGCAUAGUGAAGAGUCAAAAUGUUUCCUCAUACGGUGCUAAUGUUGAAGGCCUGAACUACAACCACUAUUUAUCAGCCAGUGAAGAGAUCACUAUUCACCAUGCAAGGGAGUUCCAGCACCCUCUAUGCCUGGAAUUACCCACGCCUGCAGAGAUCCCAAACGCCAUCCCUCACAUAAGACAGCCUCAUGAUCUCAUAAUCCAGGUAGCUAUGUAGACAUCUUCCUGCAGGUGUCACAUAGUCCUUAGUGUGAAACCAACAUAGAAAGCCCAUGUUUCUGAUCAAAUCACAGGUUCUGAAACACUAAGGGAGGCACUAAGUAGGACAAUGUGGUGCCUGCGUGUCAUAGCUGGGUCUCCUCAAGACAUGGAUCAAGUCCAGUAAGAAUUGGGGAGAUGCUUUAGAGUCUUGAUGGAGUUAUCACCACAAGCCCUCUGAGCUACACACUUUAGGGAUCAUGACCAUUAAGUACUCAAAUUACCAUUUGGUUGUUAUCCGGGUAUCCGUCGUCCUUGUGGCAACCCUCUUGUGAAGCUGGUGUGGACAGCCUCAGUGCUGGAGCUGUGCCUGCCUUCUGAGUGGACCCUUUCUGUGUUAGCAGAGAAUAUAAGAAGAUAUGCUGUGCACACCAACCAGUGUAGGAGACCUCAUGGCUCCCGGGUAAAGAAGAAGAGGUACCCACAAGAAGAUGACUUCCAUCAUACAGUCUUCAGCAAUCUUGAAAGAUU